rnacentral:misc_RNA from 1 species
UCUCCGUAGGUGAACCUGCGGAGGGAUCAUUACUGAGUGAGGGUUUAACCGCCCGACCUCCAACCCUUUGUGAACACAACUUGUUGCUUCGGGGGCGACCCUGCCGCUUCGGCGGUGCGGCGCCCCCGGAGGCCAUUAAACACUGCAUUCUCUGCGUCGGAGUAUUAGUAAAUCUAAUCAAAACUUUCAACAACGGAUCUCUUGGUUCUGGCAUCGAUGAAGAACGCAGC